AUGCCAACCCCAGUCUCAUAUUUACAACUCUUAUUGCUGAGUAUAAUAGUUUAAUUCAUUUAAUUGGGUUGGAAUGUUAAAUUGGGUGUCAUCCCAUGUAAGAUAACCAAUGAAGCCGUCACAUCGCACUUGCUAUAUUCAUCUUUUAUCUACCUGCCACCUACGAAUGGAAUUGUGAACGCUCAAGGUAAAAAUAAAGUGAUCCAUUGCAUUUAUCAUCGUUUGCUUGGCGGUUUUAAAUUGUUGUACAAGGUGUGCAUGAAGACAUUUAUCUGCACUACUUCAGAGGUGAAAUGCAGGGGAAAUGCUGAAGCAAAGCACCCUAAAGCUUAUGUUUAUGCUUGUUUUCCUCAUCUUAAGAAAUCAUGAUUUCCAGUUAAAGUAAACAUGAAAUAUGGGUUUCAUCAGCGUCUCCAAUCUAUCAUGUGAUUUGGGUUGGACCGGUUCCAUUGUUUCUAUUGAAAUAUUUUUCCAAACUAUUGUUGGUUAAAUAGCUUGAAACUCUUAAAUAUGUUUCUAAUAUCUCUUAGGUUCACUUUUAGUUCAUUUUGUUAAACUGGUUUGUGAUGUAUGAUUGGCAGCUUCCAGAAUCUUUUUGA